rnacentral:pre_miRNA from 1 species
AACAUAUUCUCUCCGUUCGAAAUUACUUGUCGUACGAAUGGAUGUAUUUAUAUUUAUUUUAGUUUUACAUUCAUUUCUAUGCAUUUUUGUAACAAGUAAUUCCGGACAGAGAGAAUAACAA